AGUUUGCUAUGCAGACUAGGCUGGCCUCUAACUCCCAAGUGCUGGAUUUAAGGGCGUCCAUCACUACACCAGUCCAGUUCUAAUAUUAAAUACUACAAGCUGGAGUUCUAGAAACAUUUUACUAUCUAUACAUCCUUUUUUUAAUUAACUUUCUUUUUUUGGAGACAGUGUUUCUCUGUGUAGUCUUGGCUGUCCUAGGACUCACUAUAUAUAGACCAGGUUGGUCUCAAAUUUACAGAACUCUGCCUGCCUCUGCCUCUGCCUCCUGAGUACCGGGAUCAAAGGUGUGCACCACCACUGCCCAGCUAAUUAGCAUUUACUAACAGAAGCAAGCCUGUGCUACAUAAUGAGUUCAGGUUGACCAGAGAUUCACAAGACCUAUCAAACUUCAACGGCCGGUCUUGGACUUAUUGAUUGAUGACAGCAAAAGAUCCGAUGUUUUCAAAAGACGUGGGUGAGUUCAAAACCCUUGGGUGAGUCUCCACACGAAAAUUUCUGUGCUCUCGUGGCAUUUCUGGUUACUUUUCAGGAAUAAGAGUUUUUCUGAUCAGGGGCUGGGGAUUUAGCUCAGUGGUAGAGCGCUUGCCUAGGAAGCGCAAGGCCCUGGGUUCGGUCUCCAGAGAGAAUCCAAGUUCAGUUCCAAGCCCCCGUGUUAGAUAGGUCACGACCACCUGCAAGCCUAACUCCAGUGGAUGACGCCCUCUUCCAGCCUCCAUGGGCACUCACACCCACAUGCACAUAACCAUGCAGACACACACAUAUAUCUCAUUAUGACAUUUUCAUACAUACACAAUGCACUGUGUUAUAUCGAUUCCCAUCAUCCUCUCUGCCUCCACCCCUAACCUACCCUCAACCCUAAGGACCCCUCUCAUUUCAUUAAAUAAUUCACCUUCUAGCUUCAUGUGACUUUAAAAAAAUCUAGGUUCAGCGUAUGAGAGAAACACUUGAAAUUUGUCUUUCUGAUGCUGGCUUCUUGUGCUUAAUACCACCAUAAUUUUUUUCUAACUUUCCUCAAAGAGCAAUUUGUAAUAACAUGAGGGGAAUCUGCCCGAUUUUGGUUGGCUGUCAAGUGAGGCUUCCCAAAGGCCUUUGAAUAAGUGAGUAAAGUAUGAGUGAAAUUGAAGCUCUUCCAGUUCUCUCCAGCGUUAUCAGUGUUCUAUAUGUCUUCCCACCACAAGAAAAGCCAUUUUGAAGGGAACGUUUCCCAUAAGCUGCAGUGUACUGCCCAUGAGAUUUUGCUGGGGAAACAUCCCUGGCUUGCAAACUAACUCUCUUUCUUUACAUUAAGGGUAUGCUAAAUACCCUCCAGGUGACAGCCAUAGCUGCCUCUAUUCCUCUUGUCCUGUGUGCCAAAAUACAUGGUAGUGAGGUGGCAGGUUUGGCCUAGGCAGAAUGUUGUGGCUUUCUGCAUGUAAGAUAAGCAAUCUAUCACUAAACUGAAUCCCCAGCUCUGGUCUUCAACUUUAUAAGUUUACUUUCCAAAGAGCUGAUCUAGUUCGCUUGGAGGUUUUCACUCAACUCUCCUUGUUUCUCCCCACCCCCACUCUUGCCCCCACCCUGCCCCAUCCCAUCCUCCACCCGCCCCCCAAUGACCACACAUGUUCCUUCCUAUCUGUGUUUGACUUACUGUCCAAACACAGACGUCUAUGUGGGCAUCGAUAGAAAUGCACGGUCAGUGUGCAUAUGAGAGUCACUUAUUUUUCUCUCAUUUAGACCUUCCUAGUGGUGCCUGGCUUUCAGGUGAGCAGUACCCACAGUGCAGAAGAGUCGCCAGCGGUGGCUAAUUGUCUGUACCCUGGGGUAUAUGUAGGUUAGGUGAUGUGUUUGCAAGGCAGCCUUUUUUUAAAAUUUUCACUCUCUGUGUAUUGGUGUUUUGCCUGCAUGCGUGUCUGUGAAUCACUUGCAUAUCUGGUACCCACUGAAGCUUCAGAUGCCCCCUAGAACUAAUGUAAACUUAUGUGAGCUACCUUACUAUGCUGUUCCCUUCUGAAUGGGCUCAGAGCGGUCAUGCCAAAAGGUCAGGUGAACUGUGUUAAAAGAUAAGGCUGGGCACCAGGCAGGACUCUGCUCCCAUCACCCAACAGUACCGGGUCUGUUUCCUGGCCGGAAGAUUGCCAUUUUCAGGGAAAAACAAUCUGGAGUCAUUCAGGAGAAGAAAAGUCAGAGUAUGAAGUCACACUGUGUUUAUAUCCCACAUGGGGACUUUUGGAGUUGGGGACCUUUUCUCUUCAUCUUCAGUGACGAGAAUGGGAUUGAGGACAAAAGAGAAGUCUCAGGCUAGAAGUUUAGGACUUGAAAUGAGUUUCUGAAGAAGACUGUGGCUCUUCUUCCCCAGAGGCUACUGCAAAUAGGACACCACAGCCAUCAGUGACAAUAAUCAGUGCUUCGCUGCUCAUCAGAAUCUGGCGUGGGCUGAUAAAAUAUCGGCCAGGGUCAGCGAGGCUGUCCCACUUCUGGAAGACUUGCCUUGUGAGAACCAGCUUGCAGACAGGACAGGACGUCUGGGGUGGGUAGUUAUGUAGUUAUCUUGAAUUCCUUGAAUUCUUCCUCUCAGGGACCUCUUAACCAGCACAUCUCCCUGGUGCAUUUAGAAUUGGUCUUGGUUCAUUUACAUAGCAUCCCGGAGCCCGCCCCUGCUGCAUCUGCAAGUGACUGUCCCCUUUCUGGGGGUCUGGAAGGCACAGUCCUCUGGGUGUCCCCUUGCCUUGACACCUGUGAUUUUGGGCUGUGCAUUAUUGAGUACCAAUUGUCUUCAAUACCCCUCUUUCAUCAGGAUUCUUUCUCCUGAAGGUUUUUGCACUUUGCUGCUCUGUUUCCUGACUUAACCACCUCCAGGCCAUUUCUGCACUCUCCUCUUUCUGCCUUCCAGAUGUUAAUUGUUUUUUUUUAAGCUUCAUUUUGGUCUCACUUCUAUACACUUUUCAUACUUAAGGAUAAGAAGGUAUGGCGAGGGAAGGCUACAGCGAGGGAAGGGAGAACCUAGUCCCUCCAGAUACACAGGUAGAUAGAGGAUCCAAUUAGAGUUGACAGCCUCUAAGGGGUAGAGAAAUUAUCUUGGGCACUAUUGCUUCUCUUGUGACUGCUGCUGCAAACUCUGAAGGAACCUCACUCUGUGUGGAUCACAAGAAAAACAUUAGGGGAGCUCUGAAUAGAUCCUAUACUCAAAGGCCUGGCACUUCCAGGCUAUUAACUCUUUUAAAGCUUCAGUGGCCCUCCUCCAUGACUACCAGGUUGGUUCCAAGUUCUCAAAAGCAAGAAUUAAAGUUUCAACAGAACUCAGAAGUCCCAAGCUUUGAUAGAAAAACAUUACAAAUGCUACUUACAAUUCUAAGAUCAACAGUCAGAAUAACUAAGGUUCUGUGCAUCUGGAAUAAGAGGGGUGUCAUACAAUGCUGCCCACAAGCAGUUAAAUGGCGCAUCUGAGACUUGGAUCUGUCACCCUGUCAGCUCUAAUGCUUGCCCUGAGAACCUCUGGCAGAACUAGAUAGAUGAAGCAGAGUCAAUGGGGUAGACUCUGGGGGGAGGGGGUAAAGAAGGCCACUGGGGGGUUCAAGGACUCUACAGGCAGCUCGGUUUCUUUACAACGUGUAUCUCCUCAUGAUUCAGACAGCUCACUUGAGCAAGUGCUCUUGUGUGUGUCAGUCACUAUUAAGAUCCAUGUUGGUUCAGAAAUAGGACAAUGAGAAAAGAAUUCAAGGAGAGAAACCAAAGAAUGAUUAAAUGGAAAAAGUAGUUGUGGGCACAGAGACUGUUCUUUUUAUUUUCUAAGAUAUUAAAAGAGGGUUAAUUUUACAGACAAUUUUACACUUUAAAGUUGGCUGCACUAGCUCCUGAAGGGAAGAGGCAGAGUGGGAAGAAGGACAGAUGUUCCUGGGGCACAAAAGAAAGCAGUAGAGAAGCAUGGAGACCGAUAGGCACCUGAAACCCUGCACGGAGAGUGAGCAGCUCAGGGGAAUCGUGGGCUGUUAGGUCAGUGGUAGGUGAUGGACUGCUGGUAAAAGAAAUAUUGUGAAAGUCAGUGUUUAUAAUUUGAGUUUAUAUAUCCCUGUAACUGAGGUUAUAUGUUACAGAUAGGAGGUUGUGCUGAUGGGAGAAAGCUAUUCUAUUUUUAUCAUCAUCAUCAUCAUCAUCAUCAUCAUCAUCAUUGGCAACAGCAGCAGCAGUAGCAUUUUAAUAUAUCCCAUAUCAUAUCAACUUUGUUCAUGGAUACAUGAUAAAAUGCCCACUUCGUUGUAAUUUCUGGAGUCCAGUGGUAAGAAUAAACUCCAGGGCACAAGUGCCCCAGAUGAACUCUCAGUGCCGGCGUAAGGACUUCAGAAGGAAGCACACCUGAGUUUGAGCCUGACUCUGACAGUUAUCAGCAUAUGACUGUGGCAGGCUAUUUAAUCUUCAUGGGCAGGAAUAAUGUAGUGAUAAGUAAGAGGUCUAAUCUCCCCUAUCCCCUUGUUAAGGGUUUAGUGUGUUGACGUACAGAAAUUACUUGGCACCUAGUAGAUGGUAAGAUUACACAACCUUUAUUUGAUUUUCAGCGGAGUAACAUAAAACAGGAAAAAAUCUCAAAGGUGAGCCUAAAAUGUCAGUAGAAUCCUAUCAAGCUCAAGGAGAAAGUACAGUUAGAGAGAGAGAGAGAGAGAGAGAGAGAGAGAGAGAGAGAGAGAGAGAGAGAGAGAGAGAGAAAUGAGUAUGUAUACCUAGGUAUGAGGAGUACAGGAGCUAGAGCACUGACUAAGCUUGGGGCUCUAGUCUUGAGUCACUGCCCAUAGGUGGCCUAGACCCCAGUCCAGACAUGGCAUAGCCCUUUAGUGGGAUAGGCAACCUCUGAAUUUUUCUGUAUCAUUCCCAAUCCUGGGAGCCCUACACUUCAAAGUUGACUGCCUUGUGCUCUUCCAACCAUGAGACUGUUUUAUAUGUGGGUCAGUGUCCUAUUAACUCCUCUUAUUUCAGUCACAGCAACUUUGAGCCUAUGCCACUUUGAAUAAGACUCCCAAGUUCCCAGUCAGCUAUUUUUAUCCGUAAUGCCAAACUUCUGUUUGGCUCAUCAAUAGUGUUAAUGUCAGCAGGUCUCAACUUUCAUGCUAUAAAAUUGUGAUGGUUUUAUUGACCAAUUAGCACAGGCUAAUGAUGAUUGUUUUUAUGAAAGUUGGUGGGUCACACUCUGGACAGCAGGCUUAACAAUGUCAUUGAAGUUUUAAUCAUAGAUCAUAAAAUGUUAGGAUUGGAAGGGUCUCAGCAGCCACCUAGCUCAACCUGCUCUGUUUACAAAAGAGGAAACUGAGGCCUGGAGACAUUUAUUUCUUAUUAAGGUGACCAAUAGGAUAGAGAAUGGAGGUACCUGGAGGAACAGAUUUUUUUAAUAAUCCAUCGAGGAGGCUCUGUUAUCAAGAGAGCCCUGGCUCACUGCCAACAUCUGCUGCUCUUGCUGCUGCAGUGUGAGUGGGCUCCUGCCUCGCUCGCUCGCACACACUCCAUAUUCGCUGGCCUCUUUUACAUUUUGACUUUGACUCAGGGACCUCUGACCACUUUCUUAUAACUAUAAAACCUAGGCUUUCCAAGCAAAGGUGCAGAGGCGUCUACCGUGGGGGUUUUUAAAGCCGAAUGAUUCACAUGUUCAAGCAUGUUCUUCCUCCUAGAGAGAAGCUUCUUUUAAAAUCCUGUGUGUGCGUGUGUGCGUGUGUGCGAGUGAGUGUGUCACUGUGCCUAGCUUUUUCUGUGGAUGCUGGAGAUCUGAAUGUAGGUUCCCACACUUGAGUGGCAGGUACUUUAUCAACUGAAUAAUUCACCUUUAGCUUACUUUAUUAGUUACCUUUCUCCUUGCUUCAAACAAAUGCUUGACAGAAAGCAACUUAGGAAAUGGAUUCCUAUUGAUGGUUCAAGAGGGUACAGCCCACCACAGUGGGAAAGUAUAGCAAGUCGUUCAUGACAACAGAAGCUUGAACCAUAGACUCCUCACAUUUGGGAAGAAGAAAGAAGGAGACAGAGGGAAGGAGAGAAGGAGAGAGAGGACUCCAAUCCAUAAAAUUGCUAUACCCCAACUCAGGAAAAGUCUCACCUCCUCAGUUAAAUUUCACCAGAAACAUCCUCACAGACAUAUCCAGAGAUGUGUCUUCUAGACGAUUUUAACUCAGUCAAGUUGACACGGAGUAACCACACUCAAUAUUGAGGAGUCUGAGCUCUGGAGAGAUGAAGAAAAUUGCCUAGAGUCAUUGAGCUGAUCCAGGUAGGUGAGACCCUGACUCUGUUCCCCAGACUCUGUUUCUCCCUGGAGUUGGAGAUGAGAUUCCCCGACACCAUGUCAGAAGGAAAGGGGGAAGAGGAGGAGGGAUUUCAAGGAGCUGAAAUGAGAGAGGCUAUGAGAAAUGGGACUUUGUCCUUAAAACCCUCCUCAAAGUAGAGUGCUGGGAAUUGAGUCUGUGUGAGGGCAGUGUGGCCUGGUGCUCACAACUAAAGGAUGGUGCUAGUAACAAGGAAUCCCCAAAUGCCUAGAUGCCUAGAGUGGGGUACCCUGUAGCACCCUUCUGUAGAGUGUGGAAGGCCAGGAAAAGGCUGGGCGGGUGUGAUGCUUUGAGUGAAGUGACCCCUGUGGACCCACAGGGGGUGGCACUAUUGGGGACAGUUGGCUUUGUUGGAGGAAGUGUGUCCCUGGGGUGCACUCCAGGGUUUCAGAAGUUCAAGCCAGGCCCACUGUCACUCUCUUCCCCUACAGCCCGUGGAUCCAGAUGUAGAACUCUGCGGCACCACGCCUCUAUGCUUCCCAUCAUGAUGACAGUGGGCUGGACCUCUGAACUCUAAGCUAGCCCCAAUCAAAUGCUUUCCUUCAUUAGAGUUGCUGUGGCCAUAGAGCCUCUUUAUAGCAGCAAACCCUUACGACAGCAGGUGUCAUAGAUGUGGGUCCGUUUGUCAUCAUUUCACACUUCCUGGUGCCUCAGACCUGUGGGGACCUUCAAGACCACAGAGGCUAUUCAAGUCGCCCUGAUGAUGAGCCCUGGGCAGCCACAGAAGGGACAUAAGCUUUUGAGACAAACUGCUCUAAACUCAAACCUCCCUCUUGGGCUGUAUGCAUUCUUGGUCAUCUUUGUCCAUUUCCACAGCAUGGACUAAUAUCUGCUUUUUUACAUCCAUAAGGAGUGUGUAAUGAAUGUAGUUGCAAAAUUAAACAAAUUCCAUCCACCUCCAUCCACCACUUACUAGCAAUAUGCUAAGAGCAGGGGUAACUCUGAGGUCACUGCCCACUUCUCCCCAGCAUUCUCCACUUCCCACAAGUAAAGACGUUCUUCUUCCCCCACCCCUCCCAUAUCCUAGCAGCAACCAGGAAGGAGAGCUGGAGUUUUAGGAGGGUCAGAACUGAAGCCCUGUGUGUUUGAAAUGGAGAGCUGGUGCUGUGGCCCUCCCCAUCAGCCGUCUUUGUACCAGAAGCUCCGAGAGUUUGACAGUGGAUGAUCGCACUAGCAUUCCCUGCUUCCUGAGGGAGGAUAAAGCCAACACAAAAAGCCCUGGAGUGUGCUUGUGUUGACAGCUGCUGGGUCCCAGUGUGGAGAGGCGGUACAAAGCACAGACUUUGGAGGGUCCAUCGUCCAGGCCCAGAGUCCAAGGACCAAGUCCAUCUGCACCAAUUCAAGGAAGGCUCCCUUUAGCUUAAUCACCAGUUUGCUCAGCAGGGCCUCUUGUUCCCAAACAUGCAAAUGAGGCUUAUUAUUCCCAUUUGCUAGAUAGAAAAACUGAGGCUUGGAGCAGUGGAUUGGCUUGUUCCAUCACAGUAACCCUGAUACAGGAUCUCCCUGCUUCCAAGACACACACACACACACACACACACACACACACACGCACGCACGCACGCACGCACGCACGCGCACGUGCACACGCACACGCACACGCACAGGCGUUAGCGCGCGCCAGGAACAGGUACACCAAUUAGCCCACAGACGGAGCAGUGGGUUAGGGGUCCACCAUAGCUCAAAUUCCCUGUGGGAAGUUGGGGACAGCAGAGGCCUUGUGUUGCCCACCAUCCUUUCUGGGCUUCACGUCUUCACCAGAAGUCUUUUUUUCUCCUUCCACGUCCCUUUAGAUUCAUGUUCUUCCUCUUUUUCGCCCUCCCCUCUGCUUCCUGAUUCAUUCCUUGCUCUUUCUUCUUCACUCAGUCCUUUUUCUUUCCAGCCCUCCUUCUCCCUGGCGUUCAGAACUCCCAGGUUCCUUCUUUCUUCCUUUCCCUCUUUCCGGUCUCUUUGUCUCCCCCCUCCUUUCUCCUUCCUCCGCUCUGUCCCCGCAGCCCCCACUCCAGGUCUGCUCUCCCGACUGCGCCCCUAGCCCUCCCUCCGCCCUCGCCCCGCCCUCCCCUCCCAGUCGCUCCCCCUUCCUUCUCCACUCUCUCGCUCUCUGUGAUUUAUUACUUACCCUGCUGCUUCUGACAAACUAUUUGUAGGAAAAUGAGAUUUGGUCCGCGCUGGAUGGUUCCUCUGGGAGGCAGGCAUGGGGGUCGUGUGUCUGAGCCCCCGUGCGGCGCCCCCGCCGGAGCCCCACGGCGCUUACGGAGCUCUUUAAGAUAAAUGAGCAAAAUUAAGAGACUCACUGGGGGAAGAAAACCCUGGCUGGCAGCGAGUGAGAGCGGAUGGCACACGGUUUCCUCCCCAAAAGGCGUCCGCGUGCCCCCCUACUCCCCAGUCCACUGCAGUCUCCAGGGAACUCCCUCCCCCCAGGAGAAGAACUUCAGCCCCAGGGCAGGAGCGGUUCAGUUCCCAGGAUGUGGCGCCGACAAGACCUGAGACCUCUAGUAAGGUGCAAGCAACAGACUGGAGACCACGGUGGGGCAGCAGCUCUGGGGUGGCUUGGAAGAAACCUGACAGGCUGAGGUGAUGGUGGAUGUGGGGAACAGCCCCAAACCACAGAGGCACAAGACAAUUUAGCCACACCCAGUCCCAUUUGGAGUAUAGUUCAAGUCCUGGUUAUAGUCACCCCUCAGGGGCACAGGAGGCUGUGCUGUCUUCAGCCUCGGGCUCUAGAAUUAAAAGCAGCUUUGGAGGCUCUGGGCAGAGGUAGCUCUGAGGCCUCUCUUCAAAGUCAGGAAUUUAGCUCCUGUUUGUUGGGGAACGAAAAGCUGUGAUUCUGUUUGAAUUUCCUGCAAUGCCAAUAGGCUAGCUCACUUUAGAUCUUAAAUAUUAUUUGCAAAGUGAGUGCAUGAACAGAUGAAUGACUUUGAGAGCUCAGGGAUGUGUUUCCAGCUCCAGUGAAAUGUCAACAGAACCAGGUUUUCAAUCUCCUUCUCUAGUCUUCUAUUUUAAAAGCGACAUACUUUCAAGGCAAGACAGAGAAGCAUAAAGAGGAAAAUACAGAGCUGGACAUGUAGCGUCAGCACGGAAAUAGUCUUCGUUUGAAUCUCCAGCUCCGAGGGAUUGGGGAGGGGGAGAACCUAAAAGCCACCUGUUAUUUCUUCUAUUGAUAGUUUGAUAUUUUUCUAAAUUUGAAAUAUGUAUUAAAAGCUAAUACAUUGUAAACAUGUGUGAUCUGCUUUUACCUACUCAACAUUCUUUCACAAGUACCUUUUUACUAUAGUUCAUGUAAUUUCUAUGUGUAUAUGAAAUACAUCCUAAACAUAAUUUCUAUUAUAUUUAUUUUAUCUCACUUUGCAUGUGCUGUGUGUAUGCACAUGCAUGCAUGCCAGGGAACAAUUUACAGGAGUUGAUUCUCUUCUAGUGUCUAUGUCCCAGGAUUGAACUCGAGUCUCAGCCUUUCGUGUUGGGCCCCUUGGUAAUCCCUAAAGCGUAACUCUGAGUAAAUCUACUGUUUUACUUCUUUGCUUGUUCUGUAUAAGAUUAUUUUAAUAAAGGUCAUAUUUUGUUCAUUUCCAUCAUUUUUGCUUUUACUCUUCUGAAGGUGUUAGCGCACCAUUUUCUAUUUAUUUUAUUUUAAUCACAGUGAUAAAAGCAGCUAUCUGAUCCCCCACCCCUUCCAAGUUUCCACAGGACAAAGUGUGACACUUGACAAUCUACAUCAAAUUGACAAGACAAUCUACUGGGCCAAGUUGAAGUUUUCUGACUGGAUCACCUUUUCCGGAAUUUUGCAGGUUUCCAAAGAUACUCUGGGUCUGAAAGCCAGGACUGUCUGAGAGUCUGGAAUCAAGUCUGUAAGUCUGUCAGCCAGGACUGUCUGAGAGUGUUCUGGAAUCUAGGAAGUGGGCAAGGCUGCUUCAAGUAUCAAAAAGAGAUGCCAUACUUAAAGCAAAGGAUUGUUGGAUUUGAAUCUAUCUAAGAUAUCUACAAAUAAAUAUAGCAAAA